rnacentral:rRNA from 1 species
GACGAACGCUGGCGGCGUGCUUAACACAUGCAAGUCGAACGGUAAGGCCCUUCUUUUUUGGUGUUCUCGAGUGGCGAACGUGUGUUUAACACGUUUGUAACCUGCCCUUUACUUUGUUAUAUCUUCAGGAAACUGUGUCUAAUACCUUAUAGGAUCUCCUGCUGCAUGUUGUGGGUUGGUUCGUUUCGGAGGUUGGGGAUGGACUCGCUGCUUAUCAGCUUGUUGGUUGGGUAGUGGCUUACCAAGGCUUUGACGGGUAGCCGGCCUGAGAGGGUGACCGGCGACAUUGGGACUGAGAUACGGCCCAGACUGCUACGGGAGGCAGCAGUGGGGAAGAUUGCAGAAUGGGCGGAAGCCUGAUGAAGAAACGCAGCGAGCGGGAUGACGGCAUUCGGGUUGUAAACCGAUUUCGACUGUGAAGAAGAGUGAGUGACGGUAAUGGGUAAAGAAGCACCAGCUAACUACGUG